GAUGAACGCUGGCGGCGUGCCUAAUACAUGCAAGUCGAGCGAACAGACGAGGAGCUUGCUCCUCUGACGUUAGCGGCGGACGGGUGAGUAACACGUGGAUAACCUACCUAUAAGACUGGGAUAACUUCGGGAAACCGGAGCUAAUACCGGAUAAUAUAUUGAACCGCAUGGUUCAAUAGUGAAAGACGGUUUUGCUGUCACUUAUAGAUGGAUCCGCGCCGCAUUAGCUAGUUGGUAAGGUAACGGCUUACCAAGGCAACGAUGCGUAGCCGACCUGAGAGGGUGAUCGGCCACACUGGAACUGAGACACGGUCCAGACUUCUACGGGAGGCAGCAGUAGGGAAUCUUCCGCAAUGGGCGAAAGCCUGACGGAGCAACGCCGCGUGAGUGAUGAAGGUCUUCGGAUCGUAAAACUCUGUUAUUAGGGAAGAACAAAUGUGUAAGUAACGAUGCACGUCUUGACGGUACCUAAUCAGAAAGCCACGGCUAACUACGU
rnacentral:rRNA from 1 species